rnacentral:rRNA from 1 species
UACGGAGGGGGCAAGCGUUGCUCGGAAUUACUGGGCGUAAAGGGCGCGCAGGCGGCUGCUCAAGUCAGGCGUGAAAGGCCUGGGCUCAACCCGGGAAUUGCGCUUGAGACUGGGCUGGCUUGAGUGCGGGAGAGGAUGGUGGAAUUCCCAGUGUAGAGGUGAAAUUCGUAGAUAUUGGGAAGAACACCGGUGGCGAAGGCGGCCAUCUGGACCGCAACUGACGCUGAGGCGCGAAAGCGUGGGGAGCAAACAGG